UGCCAUUUUUUUUUUCAAAAUAUCAAAUC
rnacentral:piRNA from 1 species